GUUCUGCGAUGAUGAUUUACGAAUAAAAUUCACAUGUCAGACUUCAGAGAUUUAAAAAUCAAUGAGAAUGACAAUUCAUUUUCUGAGCGGAUC